rnacentral:rRNA from 1 species
UACAGAGGUCUCAAGCGUUGUUCGGAUUCAUUGGGCGUAAAGGGUGCGUAGGCGGCGCGGUAAGUCGGGUGUGAAAUCUCGGAGCUUAACUCCGAAACUGCAUUCGAUACUGCCCUGCUCGAGUACUGGAGAGGAGACUGGAAUUUACGGUGUAGCAGUGAAAUGCGUAGAUAUCGUAAGGAAGACCAGUGGCGAAGGCGAGUCUCUGGACAGUUACUGACGCUGAGGCACGAAGGCCAGGGGGAGCAAACGGGG